rnacentral:misc_RNA from 1 species
AUUUAAAAUGAUUUGGCUUACCUUGAGGAAAAUAAGACUAUUGUACUACUUCGAGGGUUGACACCAAUAGUGUAUUUUGAUAUUUGAUAGUAAUGAUAAGCAAUCAAUUAUGGGAAUGACUCAAAUUGUGGUGCUUAUGCGCAAUGGAAAACAUAAGAUUAUAGUAUUAUACGUCUGGUGAAAAAGUAUUCGCAGAUAUGAAGGGAUAUUAUUAGAUAGUGGAUUUCAUAUUAUAAAAUAGACUAUAAUUUAAGGGCUUUGACAAACCAAUGGUUAGUUAUUGAAAGAUUAAGGUAGGUAAUUUUUUUUUAAUUUA